rnacentral:rRNA from 1 species
GAGUUUGAUCUUGGCUCAGAACGAACGCUGGCGGCAUGCCUAACACAUGCAAGUCGAACGGGAUCCAGGCUUCGGCCUGGUGAGAGUGGCGGACGGGUGGGUAACGCGUGGGAACCUGCCCAAUGGUCUGGGAUAACCGCGGGAAACUGCGGCUAAUACCGGAUAAGCCCGAGAGGGGAAAGAUUUAUCGCCGACGGAGGGGCCCGCGUCCGAUUAGGUAGUUGGUGAGGUAACGGCUCACCAAGCCUACGAUCGGUAGCUGGUCUGAGAGGAUGAUCAGCCACACUGGGACUGAGAUACGGCCCAGACUCCUACGGGAGGCAGCAGUGGGGAAUAUUGGACAAUGGGCGCAAGCCUGAUCCAGCCAUGCCGCGUGUGUGAAGAAGGCCUUCGGUUGU